rnacentral:tRNA from 1 species
CGCGAUUAGCUCAGCGGGAGAGCGCUUCCCUGACACGGAAGAGGUCACUGGUUCAAUCCCAGUAUCGCGCACCAA